UGCAGAAUCCCGUGAACCAUCGAGUCUUUGACGCAAGUUGCGCCCGAAGCCAUUAGGCCGAGGGCACGCCUGCCUGGGCGUC
rnacentral:rRNA from 1 species